rnacentral:rRNA from 1 species
GACGAACGCUGGCGGCGUGCUUAACACAUGCAAGUCGAGCGGUAAGGCCCUUUCGGGGGUACACGAGCGGCGAACGGGUGAGUAACACGUGGGUGACCUGCCCUCAGCUCUGGGAUAAGCCUGGGAAACUGGGUCUAAUACCGGAUAUGACUCCAUGACGCAUGUCGUGGGGUGGAAAGCCUUGUGCGGCUGAGGAUGGGCCCGCGGCCUAUCAGCUUGUUGGUGGGGUGAUGGCCUACCAAGGCGACGACGGGUAGCCGGCCUGAGAGGGCGACCGGCCACACUGGGACUGAGACACGGCCCAGACUCCUACGGGAGGCAGCGGUGGGGAAUCUUGCGCAAUGGGCGAAAGCCUGACGCAGCGACGCCGCGUGAGGGAUGACGGCCU